GACGAACGCCGGCGGCGUGCUCACUACAUGCUACUCGAACGAGUUUGCUUUUAACUGAAGGCGGUGCUUGCACCAACUGAUUUAAAAAUAAACGAGUGGCGGACGGGUGAGUAACACGUGGGUAACCUACCCUAAAGUGGGGGAUAACAUUUGGAAACAGAUGCUAAUACCGCAUAAUAUUAAAAACCACAUGGUUUUUAAUUGAAAGACGGCGUAAGCUGUCACUUUCCGGAUGGACCCGCGGUGCAUUAGCUAGUUGGUCGAGGUAAUGGCUCACCAAGGCUGCGAUGCAUAGCCGACCUGAGAGGGUGAUCGGCCACACUGGGACUGAGACACGGACCAGACUCCUACGGGAGGCAGCAGUAGGGAAUCUUCCAAAAUGGACGAAAGUCUGACCGAGCAACGCCGCGAUGAGUUGAAGGAAGGUAUCCUCGGAUCGUAACAACAUCUGUAUAGUAUCAGAGAAGAAC
rnacentral:rRNA from 1 species